rnacentral:rRNA from 1 species
AUUGAACGCUGGCGGCAGGCCUAACACAUGCAAGUCGAACGAGUGGCGGCCGGGUGAGUAAUGUCUGGGAAACUGCCCGAUGGAGGGGGAUAACUACUGGAAACGGUAGUUAAUACCGCAUCCCAUCGGAUGUGCCCAGAUGGGAUUAGCUAGUCGGUGGGGUAAAGGCUCACCUAGGCGACGAUCCCUAGCUGGUCUGAGAGGAUGACCAGCCACACUGGAACUGAGACACGGUCAAGCCUCCUCCGGAGGGCAGCAUUGGGGAAUAUUGCACAAUGGGCGCAAGCCUGAUGAGGCCAUGCCGCGUGUAUGAAGAAGGCGUUCGGGUUUUAAAGUACUUUCAGCGAGGAGGCGUUACUCGCAGAAGAAGCAUCGGCUAACUCCGUGCCAGCAGCCGCGGUAAUUC